CCUUCAUCUCGGAUACCCCAUUCGUUCCACUCUCCUUUGUAUACAUAAGCAGAAAAUUCCGACCAGGUCAUUUUAUUCGGCAGUUGGCAACUAAACAGACGUAUAUGUUGUCACAGAUUUGUGCACAAUUCAACGUACAAUUCUCUGUGGUAGUAACGAUAAUUUUUCGCAAAUAUCUCGGAAAUUAAGGCCGAUCGCCAGUUACAUAUAUAAGAAAAAGUUGUUCGGAAUCAUGGCUCCACCACAUAUUAAAAAAUCAUCGAAAUCAGAAAGGUUGAGUUCGAUCUGUACAUUUACCAAUAACUACAAUAAAUGAAGUUUGAUAAAUUGCGAUGAUUUUAUGGUACCGAAACCGUUGUAUACGAAACGUAAAACGUGAGAGAAAAUGAAAAUGUCAAGACAAUAUAAAAGACAAAGAAAAG
rnacentral:misc_RNA from 1 species